rnacentral:rRNA from 1 species
CCUACGUGAUGCAGCAGUGGGGAAUAUUGGGCAAUGGGCGCAAGCCUGACCCAGCAACGCCGCGUGAAGGAAUAAGGCUUUCGGGUUGUAAACUUCUUUUCUCAGGGACGCCGAAAGUGACGGUACCUGAGGAAUAAGCCACGGCUAACUACGUGCCAGCAGCCGCGUUAAUACGUAGGUGGCAAGCGUUAUCCGGCUUUACUGGGUGUAAAGGGCGUGUAGGCGGGACUGCAAGUCAGAUGUGAAAACCACGGGCUCAACCUGUGGACUGCAUUUGAAACUGGAGUUCGUGAGUACUGGAGAGGCAGACGGAAGUCCUAGGGUAGCGGUGAAAUGCGUAGAUAUUAGGAGGAACACCAGUGGCGAAGGCGGUCUGCUGGACAGCAACUGACGCUGAGGCGCGAAAGCGUGGGGAGCAAACAGGAUUAGAUACCCCAGUAGUC